UCCAAAUUUUUUUCUGAAAUUAUUUUUCCAUCAGUUUUCUGUCAGAAGAAGCAGUGCGUUUACAUUGACGAAUCAAGAUUACUUCAUGAGUAGAUAAAACAUGGCAUUCUUUUUCAACUAUUCUGGCAAUCAGCAUAAACAACAGACCCCAGUGAAAGAUGAAUUUUAGGUUUCAACUUCAGAAAAGCCAAGGAUCUGUCCAAAAUAUUGGCAGCCACAAUAAAAGUUUCUGGAGAAGAUUCAAAAAAAGUAGAGUCUCAACAGUUCAGAUAACUGGACCCAUUCCAGACUGCUAAGACCUACAACCCCAAAUUCUUCACCAGACCACAAGCACAGUUAAUGCAACUGGUAGAAUAUGUUCCGGGAACAUGUGAAAUACCACUUUGAAGACUCUCAGAAGUGAGACUAAUGCUUUUUUCAUAGUUGCUGAAUGGGACCAAAGGACAAACAAUAGCCUGUGGACAAGUUAUGAGAGGUGAAGACCCGCCUGUGUAACAGCGAGACCAUGUCUCAAUUGAAAAAGAAAAACAACAACAACAACAAACAGAGGGAAUCCUUGUGACACACCACAUGCCGGGAAUUUCCCAAAGUGGGAAAAUCACAAGGAAGAUAGGCUAUCCAUCAAAAAAAUGACA